AUUGAACGCUGGCGGCAGGCCUAACACAUGCCAGUCGAGCGGAUGAAGGGAGCUUGCUCCUGGAUUCAGCGGCGGACGGGUGAGUAAUGCCUGGGAAUCUGCCUGGUAGUGGGGGAUAACGUCCGGAAACGGGCGCUAAUACCGCAUCCGUCCUGAGGGAGAAAGUGGGGGAUCUUCGGACCUCACGCUAUCAGAUGAGCCUAGGUCGGAUUAGCUAGUUGGUGGGGUAAAGGCCUACCAAGGCGACGAUCCGUAACUGGUCUGAGAGGAUGAUCAGUCACACUGUAACUGAGACACGGUCCAGACUCCUACGGGAGGCAGCAGUGGGGAAUAUUGGACAUUGGGCGAAAGCCUGAUCCAGCCAUGCCGCGUGUUUGAAGAAGGUCUUCGGAUUGUAAAGCACUUUAAGUUGGGAGGAAGGGCAGUAAGUUAAUACCUUGCUGUUUUGACGUUACCAACAGAAUAAGCACCGGCUAACUUCGUG
rnacentral:rRNA from 1 species